CAUUGUAUAAUGAGCUCUAUCACUGCUAUGGGGGGCCAUUCACAUCUUCCUACUACCAUACUUGUAUAGGUGCACACUUAAUACUUAACACUUCUCCAUACACCCAAAAACUGAGUAGUUAUGUAUGCAUUCACACUUAUCAUUUUGCCACUACACCUAAAAACGAAACGGUUAUAUAGGCGUACACUGAAGCCUAACAUCAUACAGGUGCUUUUGGAACAAUUCGCCUUGAUAAUGAGUGAUGCACACUAAACACUUAACACUUAACACUUCCCCAUACACCCAAAAAUAGAAAAGUUAUGUAUGAAGUCACACUUAUCAUUUUCUUACUACACCCGAAAACGGAAUGAUUAUGUAGGGGCACAUUGAAGCCUAGCAUCAUGCAGGUGCUUUUGGAACAGUUC
rnacentral:lncRNA from 1 species